CCUACGGGUGGCAGCAGUGGGGAAUAUUGGACAAUGGGCGAAAGCCUGAUCCAGCCAUGCCGCGUGUGUGAAGAAGGCCUUCGGGUUGUAAAGCACUUUCAGUGGGGAAGAAAGCCUUGGGGCUAAUACCCUCGAGGAAGGACAUCACCCACAGAAGAAGCACCGGCUAACUCCGUGCCAGCAGCCGCGGUAAUACGGAGGGUGCGAGCGUUAAUCGGAAUUACUGGGCGUAAAGCGCGCGUAGGCGGUCUGAUAAGCCGGUUGUGAAAGCCCCGGGCUCAACCUGGGAACGGCAUCCGGAACUGUCAGGCUAGAGUGCAGGAGAGGAAGGUAGAAUUCCCGGUGUAGCGGUGAAAUGCGUAGAGAUCGGGAGAAAUACCAGUGGCGAAGGCGGCCUUCUGGACUGACACUGACGCUGAGGUGCGAAAGCGUGGGUAGCAAACAGGAUUAGAUACCCGAGUAGUC
rnacentral:rRNA from 1 species